rnacentral:rRNA from 1 species
UACGGAGGGUGCGAGCGUUGUCCGGAAUUAUUGGGCGUAAAGGGCUCGUAGGCGGGUUGUCGCGUCAGCUGUGAAAACGCGGGGCUUAACUCCGCGCUUGCAGUGGGUACGGGCAGUCUAGAGUGUAGUAGGGGGGACUGGAAUUCCUGGUGUAGCGGUGGAAUGCGUAGAUAUCAGGAGGAACACCGAUGGCGAAGGCAGGUCUCUGGGCUAUUACUGACGCUGAGGCGCGAAAGCGUGGGGAGCGAACAGG